rnacentral:lncRNA from 1 species
GCUUUAUAGCCCAGAAAGUUACACAAAGGGGGGUUACAGAUAACAGAACUCUGACAAGCAUCACAUUAAUGGUAGUUUACAUUUUUUUGCUGGCCCCAACAUCAGAAUUUAUGAGGACCAUUAGAGCCUUAGAGAGCGUCGUUGUCUGGCCAGGGAAGGCCAAUAUUUAUGAGGUGUCACUAAGUUUCAGAGAGAGCUGCUAUCUGGUCAGAGAGCCAGGCAUGGGUGAGUUCAAGGCACGGGCAGGCAUUCCAAGCAGGUUCAGAAUUUGUAGUAAUUUAUAGUAAAGCUGAAAUUAUCUUUUCAUGGUUUUGUGGCGAGAUGCCCAAUUUUAAGAAAAGAUCAGGUUGGGUCUAUCAAGGCUAGCCUCAGCAAUUUAGCGAAGCCCUAAGAAAUUUAAUGAGACCUGUCUCAAAAAAAGAAAAAAAUGGCUAGGGAAUAUAGCUCAGUGGUAAAACACCUGGGGUAAAAUCCCCAGUACAAAAAGGAAAAAAACAAAAAACCUGAAAAAAAACCCCAAAACAGAUUCUAAUAGUGAAAAGGGGAAACCGGACAUUGGGAGACGCAGGUAAACUUGUGCUGACUUCUGCUGUGUUGGCCUCCUUUUCUCAACUGCAAGCGGCUUUCUCUGUAGUUUGUUUUUUUUUUUUUUUUUGGUGGGGCUGGGGAUUGAACCCAGGGUCUUGCGCAUGCGCGGCAAGCGCUCUACCAGCCUCUGAGCUAUAUCCCCAGCCCCUCUCUGUGCAUUUGAGGACUUAACAACUAUCAGCUCCAGACUCGCAUCCUGAAUGAAAGGUUCCCCUACCUCCCAGUUUUAGUUUGGCAGAUCCUUCUUGGAUUGAUCACUGUGGCCAGUGGUGUUUGGCUCUAUGAUGAGCCCAAUCUGGGUCACGAGCUUUCCUCUAUGCCCCCUGCCAGGUGGGGAAGAAAGGCAGACUCCAUUACCCAAGCGAGGUUCUCAGAAGACAAAACCAACAUCUACUACAGACAGUAAAUGAGUCUAUGAUUAUGUACUGGUAUCAUUUGAAAGUGUGUUAAUGUCCUGAGUGUGUAUCCUAGGAAAGGCCAGCUGGACUCUGUCUCCAUGGUGGCUCUGCCCCCAGGGACAGUCUGUCACCAGAUAAUUACUUUUAUAACCCCCAAGAAGAAAAUCUCUUUGUCCUUGAAGUAGUCCCAGAAAGGAGGCAGAUGGGAAAGACCUGACUGGGAGCCUCUCCAGUUGGCAGUUGGCUUGGGGCAGAGAGGGAUUUGUUGGCUCUCGGAGCUUCGAAGGCCAGGAAUGGAUCAGGCUCCCGGUUAGAUCCCAGGACUCCAAAUGGGGUCAUGGGAUCCAUCUCUCUUCCGCUCUCACCUCUGCUCUUCUUUGAGUUGGCACUAUUUUCAAGCUCCAUGGUGUGACCCCACAGCUCUCCUUAUUGAUAGAAAGGGCUUCCCUUUGCUGGGGAAAACCAACCAACCAAUCUGGAUUUGGUUCUUGGUUCAGACUGGACAGUAUUCAGACUCAAGUCAUCACUGUGGCCAGGAAGUUCAAAUACACUGACUUCUGCCAGCCAUGUACCUGCAUGGGCUGAGAGUUGGCACCCGGUGGUGGGGGGUGAUAUCAGAGGAGGGUGGGAGGACAGGCCAGGAAGAAUGAUCAGGGGCCAUCCAGUCCUCUUCCUUUUUCUGUGGUCUUCAUUUCUCUGCCUGCUUACCUUCACCACCUACCCCAUCUCUCUUCACUGUCUUGCAGGUACCUUCAGAGGGUACUCCUGAAGGGGCAUCUGGGCCUCAAUUAAGGAGCAGAGGGAAAUAUUGCUUGGUCAAAGAGGGGUGUUCAACAAAAAGCCAUUUAGUGCACAGUCGUCUUCCAGAACUGCUUUCCUAUGGACCCCAUUACAGCCCAGCAGGGCCCCUGUCAUGGUCUGAGGUAGAAUUCUAGUUACGUUCUUGUCCCAGCCCACACUGGCUCCUGAGGAAUGAGACUUGAGCCUGUGGGUUAUUCAGCACAUUUUUGGCGGGAUGAUUGCCCGGAUGUAGCCCCACUUCUGCCCCAGGUUAGUCUCACAUGCCAGAUCCUUGGUACAGGGCACAGGGUUGAAUGCUGAACCUGUGAGGGUCCUGCUGACUGGUUCUGUUUUAUGUGGGCAGUGCACAGCCAUUGUGGUUGGUUGGAAUGGGUGGUGGCUUCUGAAUUAGUCACUUCUGUAUCCAUCAAUUCACUUAGGACCUGAGGCCACAGUUUCUUUCUUUGUCAUUGACCCAUCUGGGUGAUAGCAGACUUGAAAUUAAUCAGACUUGAAUUAAUGAGAUAGUGUAUCUAUUUAACACACCCUCAGAAGUUUCUUACUAUAAAGAAGAGUUCUGGUGACUGGGGAGGCCUUUUCAAUAUCCUGAUCCGGCAGGUGACAGCCCUGAGGGUUGUCUGUCAGUUGUGUUCUGUCUGGCCUUGGCCACUCUCUAGAACAAAUUGGUAUCAAGCCCAUCUGGAUGGUUGCAGCAGGUACACAGAUCCAGCUGGUGAUCUCUUGGGGUAACUUCUGUGAGCUGCAAGGCCCUUGAAAUGGUACAGGCAGUGUUGGGACAGUGUGUUCAAAGGCGUGGCUCAGCAAAAUGUCCUGCCAGCUUGGACAAAUGCUGUCCCAGCCGGAACCCUCAGAAACCUUCAGAACGGCAUGUGCUUUUUGUAGCAUGUGUGCUUGCUGCCUCUUCACAGUGGGGAUGCGGGACCUGACAUCCUGCGACAUAGAGAAGAAAGUGUCAUUUGCCAAAUACUUGACUGAGCCACCCCUGAGUGCUUGGUACUGCUCUAGGUCCUGGGAAUACAGCAGAGAAUCAGAUGGAGCCAGUCCCCACCCACAGGAUUUUUUUUUUUUUUUAAUAAAUAUUUACUUUUUAGUGGUAGUUGGACACAAUACCUUGA